rnacentral:lncRNA from 1 species
CUCUUUUCCAAGGUAAAAACUAUGGAUGGCAACGGAUAGGGUACCCACAAAAUUUGCCCUACCCGUAUCUGAACCUAUUUGAAGUCUUACUUCCCGAACCCAUCCCAAACCCGAUUACAAAAUUAACCAAAAAUUCCAAACCCAUCCUAUGUAAAAUUGUUAUGCCCAUCGAGUACCCAAACCUACUUGAUUGUCCUUUAUUCGGGUUGGAUUAUUCGGAUACCUAAACCCGCCUGACCAAAGAGAA